rnacentral:rRNA from 1 species
ANGACUCUCGGCAACGGAUAUCUCGGCUCACGCAUCGAUGAAGAACGUAGCAAAAUGCGAUACUUGGUGUGAAUUGCAGAAUCCCGUGAACCAUCGAGUUUUUGAACGCAAGUUGCGCCCGAAGCCAUUCGGCCGAGGGCACGUCUGCCUGGGCGUCACGC